rnacentral:rRNA from 1 species
GACGAACGCUGGCGGCGUGCCUAAUACAUGCAAGUAGAACGCUGAAGGAGGAGCUUGCUUCUCUGGAUGAGUUGCGAACGGGUGAGUAACGCGUAGGUAACCUGCCUGGUAGUGGGGGAUAACUAUUGGAAACGAUAGCUAAUACCGCAUAAUAGCAGUUGUUGCAUGAUAACUGUUUGAAAGGUGCAAUUGCACCGCUACCAGAUGGACCUGCGUUGUAUUAGCUAGUUGGUGGGGUAACGGCUCACCAAGGCGACGAUACAUAGCCGACCUGAGAGGGUGAUCGGCCACACUGGGACUGAGACACGGCCCAGACUCCUACGGGAGGCAGCAGUAGGGAAUCUUCGGCAAUGGACGGAAGUCUGACCGAGCAACGCCGCGUGAGUGAAGAAGGUUUUCGGAUCGUAAAGCUCUGUUGUAAGAGAAGAACAAGUGUGAGAGUGGAAAGUUCACACUGUGACGGUAUCUUACCAGAAAGGGACGGCUAACUACGUG